GGCUUCGUGGCGCAAUGGAUAGCGCGUUGGACUUCUAGGCUAAGCAAAGUGAUUCAAAGGUUGUGGGUUUGAGUCCUACCGGAGUCA